rfam:Methanolinea sp. SDB scaffold-15473, whole genome shotgun sequence.
CGGGAUCCGUCCCGUGAGGGAUGUGGCUCGCAUGAGCCGAACCUGAAG